UUACCUACGGGACGCAGCAGUGGGGAAUAUUGCACAAUGGGGGAAACCCUGAUGCAGCAACGCCGCGUGAAGGAAGAAGGCUUUCGGGUUGUAAACUUCUUUUAUCAGGGACGAAGCAAGUGACGGUACCUGAUGAAUAAGCCACGGCUAACUACGUGCCAGCAGCCGCGGUAAUACGUAGGUGGCAAGCGUUAUCCGGAUUUACUGGGUGUAAAGGGCGUGUAGGCGGGAGUGCAAGUCAGAUGUGAAAACUAUGGGCUCAGCCCAUAGCCUGCCUUUGAA
rnacentral:rRNA from 1 species